rnacentral:rRNA from 1 species
AACGAACGCUGGCGGCAGGCUUAACACAUGCAAGUCGAGCGAGACCUUCGGGUCUAGCGGCGGACGGGUGAGUAACGCGUGGGAACGUGCCCUUCUCUACGGAAUAGCCCCGGGAAACUGGGAGUAAUACCGUAUACGCCCUUUGGGGGAAAGAUUUAUCGGAGAAGGAUCGGCCCGCGUUGGAUUAGGUAGUUGGUGGGGUAAUGGCCCACCAAGCCGACGAUCCAUAGCUGGUUUGAGAGGAUGAUCAGCCACACUGGGACUGAGACACGGCCCAGACUCCUACGGGAGGCAGCAGUGGGGAAUCUUAGACAAUGGGGGCAACCCUGAUCUAGCCAUGCCGCGUGAGUGAUGAAGGCCUUAGGGUUGUAAAGCUCUUUCAGCUGGGAAGAUAAUGACGGUACCAGCAGAAGAAGCCCCGGCUAACUCCGUA